rnacentral:lncRNA from 1 species
AUGGCAGCAGAAAUAGGUCAGCCAUUAACGAACCAACAUGAAGCUUCUGAGACGCAUCCAGCACAAGCCCUUCCCAAGAGUCCAGUUAACCCCUUCUGCAAAGACACUAGCAUUAUUCUCCACUCGUCUGUCCAUGAGCGAGACAAUGAACCUCCAGAGAAACUGAUAGAUCAGCAAUAUCACACCAGAAACAGAAAACAGCACAGCUACGAUACCGCUUCUACACAACCGCUCCAUAAACAAGCACAUAUUGAAUAACUUACAUUUUACACACAUUAUUGAGUUACUCUGUCUCACUCCUCUAUGAAUCAGUGUUGUUGAAUGAAUUGUAUGAAUGAUUCAAUGACUCACUCGUUUUAUUUCUGAAUGAAUCAGUGUUUCGAACAAAAUCGAUUAAAUGAAUGAUUCAAUGACUCAUUUAUAAAAACAGCCACUUGUUUCUUUUCUGAAACAAUCAGAGCUGAACAAUUAAUUUGAAUCAUCUGAAACUUAUUCAUAAUGAAAGCCAGUUGUUUUAUCUCUCUGAAUGAAUCUGUAUUUUGAACAAAUUGAUCAAGGAGAUGAUUCAAUGACUCAUUUAUAAAAACAGACACUUGUUUCUUUUCUGAAAGAAUCACAGUGAACAAAUUGCUCAAAUAAAUAAUUCGAUGACUCAUAAUGCCAGCCACUUGUUUAGUUUCCAAAUUAAGUGUUUUUUAGCAAAUUGAUUGAAUAAUUCAACAACUCAUUCACUUGCUUCUUUUCUAAUUCUUGAAUAAAUCAGCGUUUUGAAUGAAUCAGUUGACUGAAUGAUUCAAAGAGUCAUUGACAUAAUGUGACUCGCAGAAAGAGUUGCUAAACCAUUUUUCGCACAUUUCUGUAUAUGAUUUAAUUUCACAAUGUCAAAUAAGUGCUUUCAGAGUAGAUUUAAGCAAAUGAAGACCAGGGUACUAACGUGAGAUUUUAUUGUCCAGAGCUACAAUAAACAGACAUCUUUCUGUAGAAACAUCAUCAUCAGACUGCUAAUGUAUAGGAAAGCAUCUCAAAGGGUUGUUCAGCUCUAACACUGAGUAUGACUUCAGAACUGCUAAACGAGUUCGUCUGAGUCUCCUGUAAUCGGGCGACGAUCACUCACGUCGGUAGUUGCAACAUAAACCACUCGCCAGCGCUCAACUCUUGCUCAACUCUCAAGGAGAGCGAAAACUGAGAAAAACACAAACAUCAUCGAAUCCACAGCCAUUCUUUUCACAAUGGAGAAAAUAAAUGUAGUGUUUUUUAGGAAACACAACUGUCGAACAGCAUUAAUAAUCUCACAUGACAUCUCAAGAAAAAAAAAAAUCCAUUCAUAGGGUCUUAAAUAUUGUCUUUUUUGGGGUCAUUUCACAGCUCAAUAAUCAAAAUAUCAUCAAAAUUCCAAUAGUUAUGAUCUGUGAAUUAAUUAUAUAUAUAUAUAUAUAUAUAUAUAUGAAUGCAGCCUUGGUGAGCAAAACAGACAAAAUCAAUAAAAAAAUUUAAAAAACGAAUAAAUAAAUCACAAUUAAAAAUAGUAAAUUGUGACCAAAAAAUAGCAAACAGAUCAAAACAGUAUAACAAAAUGUCUUUACAAAAACAAAUUAC